rnacentral:lncRNA from 1 species
AUGAUAAACAGAGAGCAAAUUAGAAUCCAAGGAAGUUGACAUGUCAUCACUUCAUUUUUUUGCGCCUGCGCAUAAAUCUGAGAAGCGUGAGUUUUCAUCAUUGUUUAUCUAGACAUAGAAUAGGUUGUGUGAAAAUAUUACUGAUGUUUAACGUUAAAAAUGGACCAAAAGAUUAAUGCUAAACAACAUUUGACAUGUUUGAACGAACAUAAAUAGAUUAUUUACUAGGUUUUUUUAGCUUUUCGGCGUGAUUUUACACUCCCCCCACCACGUUUUGUGGGAGCAUAAUGAACGCUAAGUACUUGGUGUUAUUUGGACAUAAAUUAUGAACUUUGUCAAAAGAAACCACAUUUGUUCCGGACCUGGGAUGCCUUCCGGACCUGGGAUGCCUGCCUUCUGAUGGAGAUAAUCAAAGACAGAACCCUGAUGACUGGAGAGACGUCAACAGAACCCUGAUGACUGGAGAGACAUCAACAGAACCCUGAUGACUGGAGAGAGGUCAACAGAACCCUGAUGACUGGAGAGAGGUCAACAGAACCCUGAUGACUGGAGAGACGUCAACAGAACCCUGAUGACUGGAGAGAGGUCAACAGAACCCUGAUGACUGGAGAGACGUCAACAGAACCCUGAUGACUGGAGAGACGUCAACAGAACCCUGAUGACUGGAGAGAGGUCAACAGAACCCUGAUGACUGGAGAGACGUCAACAGAACCCUGAUGACUGGAGUUUAAGAUCAAACUAAAUGCCUCACCUCUUCUGCUCCUUGCUAGAGAGGUUUUGGGUUGGCUACUUCGCUAUGCUAUAUCAUGUCAUCUUUUUCCAUUUCAAUGUUUAAGAAGAUGAGAAAAAAGAAGGAACCCGCACAUUGCUUUUGACAGUAUCACUGCUCUUUAAUAAGCUUUGCGUAUCGGCCUCACAGCCUUUCACGGCCUCACGGUUUCAAGGCCUCUCACAGCCUUUCACGGCCUCUCACAGCCUUUUACGGUCUCUCACAGCCUCACGGUUUCACGGCCUCUCACAGCCUUUCACGGCCUCUCACAGACUCACGGUUUCACAGCCUCUCACAGCCUUUCACGGCCUCUCACAGCCUCACGGUUUCACGGCCUCUCACAGCCUUUCACGGCCUCUCACAGCCUCACGGUUUCACGGCCUCUCACAGCCUUUCACGGCCUCUCACAGGCUUUCACGGCCUCUCACAGCCUCACGGUUUCACGGCCUCUCACAGCCUUUCACGGCCUCUCACAGCCUCACGGUUUCACGGCCUCUCACAGCCUUUCACGGCCUCUCACAGCCUCACGGUUUCACAGCCUCUCACAGCCUUUCACGGCCUCUCACAGCCUCACGGUUUCACAGCCUCUCACAGCCUUUCACGGCCUCUCACAGCCUCACGGUUUCACGGCCUCUCACAGUCUUUCACGGCCUCUCACAGCCUCACGGUUUCACAGCCUCUCACAGCCUUUCACGCCUCUCACAGUCUCACGGUUUCACGUCCUCUCACAGCUUUUCACGGCCUCUCACAGCCUCACGGUUUCACGGCCUCUCACAGCCUUUCACGGCCUCUCACAGCCUCACGGUUUCACAGCCUCUCACAGCCUUUCACGGCCUCUCACAGUCUCACGGUUUCACGUCCUCUCACAGCUUUUCACGGCCUCUCACAGCCUCACGGUUUCACGGCCUCUCACAGCCUUUCACGGCCUUUCCUUAUUUUUUUCUAGUUUUAUUCAACUGCACCUGCAGGAAAGAUGUGUUAGUUCCUUAUGAAUUUUGAAUGUUUAAGAAGAUGUUCAUUGGCUGUGACUGAAUCCAAUAAUAUUUGAUACAUUUAUCAUUCCUUUUGAUUCAUAAAGAGUGUUUCUGUGUGUUUGGUAGCGUAAACAUGUUAACAUCCCAGAGGCCAUAGUCCAAAAACUGUGAACAUUCUCUUUUAUGUAGAGGGGAGUUAGAUAGAUAACACAAUGUACCUGAAAUCACCUCAACUGUCUGUCUCCAUUAGGAGUCUAUUAUAUCAAGGGCAAUAUGGGCUAUAACAAGCCUUAAAGAAAAGACAUGGGAGAAAUCAAAAACCUUCAGUAAUGACAGCAUGGAGUUAAAUCAACAGUCCAUUCAUUCUAACAAAUGCAUGGAGUUAAAUCAACAGUCCAUUCAUUCUAAUGACAGCAUGGAGUUAAAUCAACAGUCCAUUCAUUCUAACGUCAGCAUGGAGUUAAAUCAACAGUCCAUUCAUUCUAAUGAUAGCUACCUGCCUCCCCCCCAUCUAACCACUAGGCUACCUGCUCUAACCACUAGGCUACCUGCCCUAACCACUAGGCUACCUGCCUCCCCCCUCUAACCACUAAGCUACAUGCCUCCCUCCUCUAACCACUGGGCUACCUCCUCUAACCACUAGGUUACCUGCCUCCCCCCUCUAACCACUAGGUUACCUGCCUCCCCCCUCUAACCACUAGGCUACCUGCUCUAACCACUAGGUUACCUGCCUCCCCCCUCUAACCACUAGGCUACCUGCUCUAACCACUAGGCUACCUGCCUCCCUCCUCUAACCACUAGGCUACCUGCAUCCCUCCUCUAACCACUAGGCUUCCUGCCCUAACCACUAGGCUACCUGCCUCCCCCCUCUCUAACCACUAGGCUACCUGCUCUAACUACUAGGCUACCUGCACUAACCACUAGGCUACCUGCUCUAACCACUAGGCUACCUGCCUCCCCCCUCUAACCACUAAGCUACCUGCCUCCCUCCUCUAACCACUGGGCUACCUCCUCUAACCACUAGGCUACCUGCCCUAACCACUAGGCUUCCUGCCUCCCUACCCUAACCACUAGGCUACCUGCUCUAACCACUAGGUUACCUGCCUCCCCCCUCUAACCACAAGGCUACCUGCUCUAACCACCAGGUUACCUGCCCCCCCCUCUAACCACUAGGUUACCUGCCCUCCCCCUCUAACCACUAGGCUACCUGCCUUCCCCCUCUAACCACUAGGCUACCUGCUCUAACCACUAGGUUACCUGCCUCCCCCUUCUAACCACGAGGUUUUCUGCCUUCCCCCUCUAACCACUAGGCUACCUGCUCUAACCACUAGGUUACAUGCCCUAACCACUAGGCUACCUGCUCUAACCACUAGGCUACCUGCCCCCCCCUAACCACUAGGCUACCUGCUCCAACCACUAGGCUACCUGCCCUAACCACUAGGCUACCUGCCCUAACCACUAGGCUACCUGCCUCCCUCCUCUAACCACUAGGCUACCUGCCUCCCACCUCUAACCACUAGGCUACCUGCCUCCCCCCUCUAACCACUAGGCUACCUGCCCUAACCACUAGGCUACCUGCCUCCCCCCUCUAACCACUAGGCUACCUGCCCUAACCACUAGGCUACCUGCCUCCCUCCCCUAACCACUAGGCUACCUGCUCUAACCACUAGGCUACCUGCCCCCCCCUAACCACUAGGCUACCUGCUCCAACCACUAGGCUACCUGCCCUAACCACUAGGCUACCUGCCCUAACCACUAGGCUACCUGCCUCCCUCCUCUAACCACUAGGCUACCUGCCUCCCACCUCUAACCACUAGGCCACCUGCCUCCCCCCUCUAACCACUAGGCUACCUGCCCUAACCACUAGGCGAUCUGCCUCCCUCCCCUAACCACUAGGCUACCUGCCCUAACCACUAGGCUACCUGCCUCCCUCCUCUAACCACUAGGCUACCUGCAUCCCUCCUCUAACCACUAGGCUUCCUGCCCUAACCACUAGGCUACCUGCCUCCCCCCUCUAACCACUAGGCUACCUGCUCUAACUACUAGGCUACCUGCACUAAC